rnacentral:lncRNA from 1 species
AUUGGACAAAGGAGAGCGAAAGAUCCGUGAAAUACACUUGGACCUCUCUGCAGCUUGGAGAGAAAUCUAUUCACUUGCUGCUCCCUUGAUUGUCAUGUUUGAAAGAAGCAGUUAGGAGGCUAAGAACUUGGAACUUCCAUGAAGACACCUCUGAGCACAGAAAUUAAUGAGCCUAAAAGAUCUAUUGGAAACCUGCAACUUUCUUCAAAAAUUCUAUUGAUCCCAAACUCAACUGAAGCACAAAAGUUGUUUACAAUUGUGAACUUGGAACACAUGCGCACAU